UCUGUCUGGGAUUGCCCAGCUGGCUCCUGGGACCAUUGCCAUGCCCAGUGCACAGAGCUGUGGUGGGGCGGUCCCUGGCGCAGAGUGAGGGGUCCUCCUGUAAAGCGUCAGGGGGUCGUGCUGGCCGGAGGAGGGGGUCCCAGGCAAAUGGGCUGGCAGAUCCUGGUGGAGGGCAGGUGGGGGUCCUAGGCAGGCAAUGGGGAAAUCCCAGGCAGGCAGUGAGGGACUAUAAAAUGACUCUACACAAACAGCCCCCCACCCCAUUUCUCCUGCCAUUUGCAGGAGCAAAUCCAGCCAUGGGGGAGCAAACAACCCAGGAAUGAGAGUUUCCUAGCAGACAGGCAUGGAGAGGGCACAGGGAAAAGGAGAUAGAGAGACUGACAGGGUCCGUGGGAUAAGAGUUUUGAAAGAGAUUUCCAGCUCUCUCAUCUGCCCAGACAGAUGUAUUACUGCACUGUGGGGAGAAUCACUUUCCUGUGGACAAGACGAGGAUGAGAGAGAGGAAAACCCAGUUCCUGACUCCAUGUCCCUCCUGCUGGGGUGUGGCUGCCGUGGGGGAAAGAGCCUGGGGGAAGCGUGAUGUGAAAUGAACUAAUGCCCGUUCCCAAACCUCCACAAUGGCCCUUCUCGCCCGGCCAGGCUGCAGAACGACGCUCACGUUUCAUUCCGGUUCAUCCCGUCCUCCCAUGGGACAAGGGAGCGACAUGGCUGCAGAGGAGCCAGCUCAGGGGCCGGUGACCUUCGAGGAGGUGGCUGUGUAUUUCACCAGGGAAGAGGGGGCUCUGCUGGACCCCGCUCAGAGAGCCCUCUCCAGAGACGUCAUGCAGGAGACCUGUGAGACUGUGACCUCGCUGGACUUGUGCAGUGUUUCUGGGUGACACCCCCGGACAGACUGGCAUCAGCACUGCCGAGCCUCUUCACUGGCCUGUCAAGGGUCAUCAGCUGUACAAUGAGCCCAUGAAAAGAACCAAGGGGAUACAGCUAUUGAGUCAGCAAGACAUGCAGGGGUAUGCCUGUGUACUGAGACCUCCAGGGCUUUUCCAUGCCAUGUGCUGUGAAGCUUGUGUUUGGGACACAGGAAGUACAAGCCACAAGGCAAAGGGAAUAGAAAGGGCAGCUGCAUCAUCUUCAUUUUCUCUUCAAUCCCUCUUCCUACCUCUGGAGCAACUUCUCUGCAAACUGAAGCCUUGAACAAAGGACUGAAUGACCCAUCCAAGCUGUGGAUGUGUUCCAGACGGACUUUCAAGCCAGGAACUCACCAAAACUGUGAAGAACCCGAUAUAUAGAUUUCUGAAUGUAUCUGACCUUUCCUUCUUUCCUUUAGUUUAGAGGCUAAAGGAUUGGCUGGCAGCCUGGUAUUUUGGGCUUUCCCAUUUCCAAACCUGAUGUGUUUUCCCAGCUGGAACAAGGGGAAGAGCCAUGGGUCUCAGAGCUCCAGGGUUCAGAGGAAAGACAGACCCUGAGAGCUCCCUGCAAAGCAGGUGAUGCGAUGGCAUGUGAGAAAGAGGAGCAGAAUUCUCAGCAGGAAGAUGCUGGGCAAGUGGAUAAACACAGAGCAUUAUCACAAAGAUCGGAAAGGAAUGUGUCCAGGAGUCAUGAGCAGGGAAAAUCCUGUGAGAUUCAGCACAGACCAGAGAGAGAGAGCAGGGAAAUCGGCCAAGGGAUAAAGUGGGUAAAUUAAUUUCCUGUCGGGGAACUCAGAAGGACCUCAAGGAAAGCACAACACAGCAGGAAAUCCUCAGGGGAAAGACAAAAAAUGCAUGCACUGAGUGUGGGAAAAACGUAUAUGACCAGUCAGCCCUUAUAAAGCAUCAGAGAAUCCGCGCAGGAGAGAGGCCCUAUGAAUGCCGUGAGUGUGAGAACCUUCAAUCGCAGCUCAAACCUUGUUACUCAUCAGAGAACCACACAGGGGAGAGGCCCUAUGAAUGCUGUGAGUGUGGGAAAACCUUCUCUUGGCACUCAGCCCAUGUUAGCCAUCCAAGAAUCUGCACAGGAGAUCAACACCAUAAAAACCUCUAGGGCUAUCCGUACUUUUUUUUCUUUAAUACUUUUCCUGAUUCCCACAUAGUAACUUGUAAAGUUGUUUGAACUGUUUGCAGCACCGUUAUCCCUCAGUGUGUCCAAAUGAGUGGCCCAUUUUUGCCUUUUGCAGUUCACCCUGUUUUGAGGUGGACCCAUUUGUCCUUCCUAUCUACUCCAUUGUCUCAUGAAUAAUUUGAGUGUGCCCUUCCUAUCAGGAACCAGGGAGCAUCACAUCUAUACCAUUCCUCCUAUUGCAAAAUUAUUGUUCGGAAUCACCAAUGAUUCAGAUUAUAUCAUUGCCAGUUGUU